GAAAAUGUGCAGAAAGAGUUUGGCGUUUAUUUGCUAGUUGGAACUUACAGAGUAUGGAGGUGCUCGAUAAGACCAGUCAUUUUAGAAGAUUUAUUAUUGCUUGCCUGUAUUUGAAUUAUAAAGUGGAAUGUGAAAAUACGUCAACCCAAUCGUGUUACAAGAGAGGUUUGUGAACGAGGAUUAAGUAGCUCUUAUCACAAGUGACCCCCCGAAGUAUCACUUCACUGAUUUCUGCUACCGAAGAAAGUGGAAUGUGAAGAGACUUCAAGCCAGUCGUGUUACAAGAGAGGUCUGUGAACGUUGAUCAACAAGUGACCCCCGAAGGAUUACUCGACUGAUUUCUGUUACUUAAGAAGAAGUGUAGCGUUUGGAGUGUGGGGCCAGAUUCAUUCAACAAAAGUAGCAAGAGUGGGUACUAGUUUUAGUGCUGCUGUUUCUACCCUGGUGAAAGGACUCGCUCGUCUUCUUUCACAGCUACGUUGAAGUCUCCCAUAUCUCUCGCCCACGUUUCGUACUAGCCUGCCUUUCGUUUAGCUUUUCCUUUAGUCUCGUUUCCGGCUGUUUCACACAUGCAAAGUCUCCUUGACUAAAUGUCCACAUUUAGGUUUUGAGGUGAGAGGGAAGCUUGUGAGUGAGUGCAGGUUGUCAAGGAAACUAUUAGGAAUGUGACAGUACAUGUUUGGGAAACAGGCAAGUUUGAAAUGUGGGCGAGAGAAUUUUUAUGUUUACGAAUGUAAUUUCAAAUAACAUUGAUACCUGUAACUUAGAAUUUCAUUCAAUUAUAUUUUGUAAAAAAAAAAAUUUUGAACAAAUUAAAUAUUAACGUUUAAGUAUUAUAUAUAUACAUUCUAGGUUUGUUGUUUAUUGUAGUAAAUUUUAUCACAUUUGAAAUUGUAAUAAAUUUGUAUAAUUACAUUAUUAUUUAGCUUGCUUUUACAGUUUUCUAUAUUCAAAUUUUACUAAUUUUAAUUUACAAAAUCCAAAUUUUAGGUAUUUUAAUUAACAAAAAUAUACUGUCAUGUCCAUUUA